rnacentral:rRNA from 1 species
GAUGAACGCUGGCAGCGUGCUUAACACAUGCAAGUCGAACGGUGAAGGCGGAGCUUGCUCUGCUGGAUCAGUGGCGAACGGGUGAGUAACACGUGAGCAAUCUGCCCCUGACUCUGGGAUAAGCGCUGGAAACGGCGUCUAAUACUGGAUACGAGCUGCGAAGGCAUCUUCAGCAGCUGGAAAGAACUUCGGUCAGGGAUGAGCUCGCGGCCUAUCAGCUUGUUGGUGAGGUAACGGCUCACCAAGGCGUCGACGGGUAGCCGGCCUGAGAGGGUGACCGGCCACACUGGGACUGAGACACGGCCCAGACUCCUACGGGAGGCAGCAGUGGGGAAUAUUGCACAAUGGGCGAAAGCCUGAUGCAGCAACGCCGCGUGAGGGACGACGGCCUUCGGGUUGUAAACCUCUUUUAGCAGGGAAGAAGCGAAAGUGACGGUACCUGCAGAAAAAGCGCCGGCUAACUACGUG